rnacentral:rRNA from 1 species
CCUACGGGAUGCAGCAGUGAGGAAUAUUGGUCAAUGGACGAGAGUCUGAACCAGCCAAGUAGCGUGAAGGAUGCCUGCCCUAUGGGUUGUAAACUUCUUUUAUAUGGGAAUAAAAUGUUCCACGUGUGGGAUUUUGUAUGUACCAUAUGAAUAAGGAUCGGCUAACUCCGUGCCAGCAGCCGCGGUAAUACGGAGGAUCCGAGCGUUAUCCGGAUUUAUUGGGUUUAAAGGGAGCGUAGGUGGAUUGUUAAGUCAGUUGUGAAAGUUUGCGGCUCAACCGUAAAAUUGCAGUUGAAACUGGCAGUCUUGAGUACAGUAGAGGUGGGCGGAAUUCGUGGUGUAGCGGUGAAAUGCUUAGAUAUCACGAAGAACUCCGAUUGCGAAGGCAGUUCACUGGACUGCAACUGACACUGAGGCUCGAAAGUGUGGGUAUCAAACAGGAUUAGAUACCCCUGUAGUC